rnacentral:rRNA from 1 species
UAAUUUAAAGUCUAGCCUGCCCAAUGAUAAUUUUAAUGGCCGCAGUAUUUUGACUGUGCAAAGGUAGCAUAAUCAUUAGUUUCUUAAUUAGAAACUGGAAUGAAAGGUUGAACGAAAAAAUAACUGUCUCUUUAUAAUUUUUUUAGAAUUUUAUUUUUAAGUUAAAAAGCUUAAAUAGAUUUGAAAGACGAGAAGACCCUAUAGAGUUUAAUAUUUUCUAAAUUGAAUUUUUAAAUAGAAUAAUUUUUAUUUAAUUGAAGAAAAUAUUUAAUUGGGGUGAUUGAAAAAUUUAAUUAACUUUUUUUAUAUUAAAACAUAAAUAUAUGAUUAAUUGAUCCAUUUUUAAUGAUUAAAAGAUUAAAUUACCUUAGGGAUAACAGCGUAAUUUUUUUUAAGAGUUCUUAUCGAUAAAAAAGUUUGCGACCUCGAUGUUGGAUUAAAAUUAAAAUUUGGUGUAGAAGCUAAAUUAUUAGGUCUGUUCGACCUUUAAAAUUUU